CCUACGGGAGGCAGCAGUGGGGAAUAUUGGACAAUGGGGGAAACCCUGAUCCAGCGACGCCGCGUGAGUGAAGAAGUAUUUCGGUACGUAAAGCUCUAUCAGCAGGAAAGAAAAUGACGGUACCUGACUAAGAAGCCCCGGCUAACUACGUGCCAGCAGCCGCGGAAAUACGUAGGGGGCAAGCGUUAUCCGGAGUUACUGGGUGUAAAGGGAGCGGAGACGGCAGCGCAAGGCUGGAGUGAAAUGCCGGGGCCCAACCCCGGAGAUGCGGUGGAAACGGUGAAGCUGGAGUGCAGGAGAGGUAAGCGGAUUUCGUGGUGUAGCGGUGAAAGGCGUAGA
rnacentral:rRNA from 1 species